CCUACGGGAGGCAGCAGUGAGGAAUAUUGGUCAAUGGACGAGAGUCUGAACCAGCCAAGUAGCGUGAAGGAUGACUGCCCUAUGGGUUGUAAACUUCUUUUAUAAAGGAAUAAAACGAGGCACGUGUGCCUUUUUGCAUGUACUUUAUGAAUAAGGAUCGGCUAACUCCGUGCCAGCAGCCGCGGUAAUACGGAGGAUCCGAGCGUUAUCCGGAUUUAUUGGGUUUAAAGGGAGCGUAGAUGGGUUGUUAAGUCAGUUGUGAAAGUUUGCGGCUCAACCGUAAAAUUGCAAUUGAUACUGGCAGUCUUGAGUACAGUUGAGGUAGGCGGAAUUCGUGGUGUAGCAGUGAAAUGCUUAGAUAUCACGAAGAACUCCGAUUGCGAAGGCAGCUUACUAAACUGCCACUGACAUUGAUGCUCGAAAGUGUGGGUAUCAAACAGGAUUAGAUACCCGUGUAGUC
rnacentral:rRNA from 1 species